rnacentral:rRNA from 1 species
UACGGAGGGAGCUAGCGUUGUUCGGAAUUACUGGGCGUAAAGCGCACGUAGGCGGCUUUGUAAGUUAGAGGUGAAAGCCCGGAGCUCAACUCCGGAACUGCCUUUAAAACUGCAUCGCUUGAAUCCAGGAGAGGUGAGUGGAAUUCCGAGUGUAGAGGUGAAAUUCGUAGAUAUUCGGAAGAACACCAGUGGCGAAGGACGGCUGCACUGGAGCUGGUAUUGACGCUGAGGUGCGAAAGCGUGGGGAGCAAACAGG